GACGGAGGAUGCAAGCGUUAUCCGGAAUGAUUGGGCGUAAAGCGUCCGCAGGUGGCAGUUCAAGUCGGGUGUGAAAUCCCCAGGCUUAACCUGGGAACUGCAUUCGAGACUGCAUUGCUAGAGUAUGGGAGAGGGAAGUGGAAUUUCCGGUGUAGCGGUGAAAUGCGUAGAUAUCGGAAGGAACAUCAGUGGCGAAAGCGACUUCCUGGACCAAUACUGACGCUCAUGUGCGAAAGCGUGGGGAGCAAACAGG
rnacentral:rRNA from 1 species